UACAGAGGUCUCAAGCGUUGUUCGGAUUCAUUGGGCGUAAAGGGUGUGUAGGUGGCGCCGUAAGUCGGGUGUGAAAUUUCGGAGCUUAACUCCGAAACUGCAUUCGAUACUGCGGUGCUUGAGGACUGGAGAGGAGACUGGAAUUCAUGGUGUAGCAGUGAAAUGCGUAGAUAUCUGGAGGAACACCGGUGGCGAAGGCGGCAUCCUGGACCAAUUCUGACGCUGAGGAGCGAAAGCCAGGGAGCAAACGGG
rnacentral:rRNA from 1 species